rnacentral:rRNA from 1 species
GAUGAACGCUAGCGGCAGGCUUAAUACAUGCAAGUCGAGGGGCAGCAUGAGUGUAGCAAUACAUUUGAUGGCGACCGGCAAACGGGUGCGGAACACGUACAGAACCUUCCUUCGAGCGGGGAAUAGCCCAGAGAAAUUUGGAUUAAUACCCCAUAGUACAACGGAGUGGCAUCACUUUGUUGUUAAAGAUUUAUCACUUGAAGAUGGCUGUGCGGCUGAUUAGGUAGUUGGCGGGGUAACGGCCCACCAAGCCUGCGAUCAGUAACUGGUGUGAGAGCACGACCAGUCACACGGGCACUGAGACACGGGCCCGACUCCUACGGGAGGCAGCAGUGGGGAAUUUUGGACAAUGGGCGCAAGCCUGAUCCAGCAAUGCCGCGUGCAGGAAGAAGGCC